rnacentral:rRNA from 1 species
UACGUAGGGUGCAGGCGUUAAUCGGAAUUACUGGGCGUAAAGCGUGCGCAGGCGGUUUGCUAAGAGAGAUGUGAAAUCCCCGGGCUCAACCCGGGAACUGCGUCCGAUACUGGCAGGCUUGAAUCCGGGAGAGGGAUGCGGAAUUCCAGGUGUAGCGGUGAAAUGCGUAGAUAUCUGGAGGAAUACCGGUGGCGAAGGCGGCAUCCUGGACCGGCAUUGACGCUGAGUGAGCGAAAGCCAGGGGAGCAAACGGG